rnacentral:lncRNA from 1 species
CCCAGUUCUAGCCAUACAAGAUACCUUGUAUGGCCAUUAAUAUUGAGAGUAAAAGAAAUGUAGAAUAAAUGGGACAAAAAGGAAAUGAAAAUUGUUGAUAUUGUAAAAGUGCUUCAUUGGUCUCCAGUAAAUCCCACCAAAUAUUUUGGUUGAGCUGGAAGCAAAGACCAUUUUGAUGUUCACAAUGAUUGUCAUUGGCUCUCACAAGGCUAAAGUUUUAAGACUUGUUAGAUGAGUUUAUUUUAAAAAUUAUUAUCUAUCCUGAGAAUGAGAAUACUGCAUCCAAUGUGCUUAUCAUUGCUAAGAAGCAAAUAGAUAAGUUUUUGUAAAGCACUGUCUGGCUAUGGAGUGCUUGAUGCAGAUCAUAAACUCUGCACAUCCCUUCUCAAAGGACCACCUACGAAAAAGGAAAUUGGUACAUGAAAAAAAGGAAAUUAGAAGGGGCAAGUUCCAAGCAACAUGGCCCCUGUAUCUAGCAAUGAGUCACCACUCCCACAGGCUAUGGGGACAGAUACUGCUGAGGAAGCGUAGGGGACAGAUACUGCUGAGGAAACGUAGAGCACAGAAUGGGUGAAAUCAGCAGCCAGGCAGAAGUCCGGAUGCUUAGUGAUGAUCUUUAAGGAGCUGUUGAUUUUGUUAAGGAAAGAGUGUAUUAUUGUGGGAGGAGUAUAUGUAAAAGCGAUGGUUCCCUCGAGCCGGCUGACAUUCAUUUUAACAAGACCUAAUUAAGAAAUGCAGGGGCUACUUACUGUGAUUUUUGUCACAGUAACAGGAAAGCUCAGCGGUGCCCUUGUCAGGGUCUGCAGCGUGUGGCUGGAGUACAUCAAACUCUGCACCACUCUAGAAUUGCGCACAGUUUGAAGGUGAUGUGUGACACAGACCUUUUGAAAGAAGAGGUUGCUAUCUGCUGGUCAGAAAAGGCUUCUCAGAAUGUGUCUCCAAAAAUUUUGCUACAGAGAGUCAUGUUAAAGCGUUCCCUUUAGAAAAGGGUUGAGGAAAGCUGAAGAGGAAUCUUCAGAUGACGAAGAUGAAAAU